GACGAACGCUGGCGGCGUGCUUAACACAUGCAAGUCGAACGGUGAAGCGCCUUCCUUUUUGGUGGGUGUGGAUGAGUGGCGAACGGGUGAGUAACACGUGAGUAACCUGCCCCCUUCUUCUGGAUAACCGCAUGAAAGUGUGGCUAAUACGGGAUAUUCUGGGUCUGUCGCAUGAUGGGUCUGGGAAAGAUAUUGUUUCGGUGGGGGAUGGGCUCGCGGCCUAUCAGCUUGUAGGUGGGGUGAUGGCCUACCAAGGCGGUGACGGGUAGCCGGCCUGAGAGGGUGGACGGUCACACUGGGACUGAGACACGGCCCAGACUCCUACGGGAGGCAGCAGUGGGGAAUAUUGCACAAUGGGCGCAAGCCUGAUGCAGCGACGCCGCGUGAGGGAUGGAGGCCUUCGGGUUGUGAACCUCUUUCGCCAGUGAAGCAGGCCUGCCUCGUUUGUGGGUGGGUUGACGGUAGCUGGAGAAGAAGCGCCGGCUAACUACGUG
rnacentral:rRNA from 1 species